UGCGCAUUAUCUAUACAAGCUGGGAAACUAGCGUGUUUUAGCGUAAUCUGAGAUUUAGUUUUUUAGCGUUCCAAAGAUGCCCGACAGUGGACUGACUUGCUAGAGAGACUUUUGAUUACAAUCGCCACAGGUUGUCCGGCAAGAACAAGAAUGCAAAUGUCCAAAAUGAUAGUUUAUUUACACGCAAUGAUCCAUGCCACUCAUGAAGCAAUGCUAACUUGAAGAUGGAGGUGACUACUCAAUAUAAAAGAGAAGAGGAGUUGGGCAGUCAAAAGAAACAAGGAGACACAUGGCAACCCUGACAAACUCCUA